GUUCACACGACGACGUGCUGGCGUGUUGUGCGUCUUUGCUGCGUCCUGACGCAGGUUGUGUGUCUGUCGUUGCAGACUGCAGAAGACGGAGGCCCAGAAGAGACGCGAGCAGCUGCUGCUGGACGAGCUGGUCAUACUGGUCAACAAGCGGGACGCGCUGGUCAGGGACCUGGACGCCCAGGAGAAACAAGCCGAGGAGGAGGACGAGCACCUGGAGAGAACGCUGGAGCAGAACAAAGGAAAGAUGGCCAAGAAGAGGAGAAGUGUGCGCUUCAAUGAUUGUUGUUUCACACAAACACAACCGACAAAUGUAGCCGAUGAAAGAAAUGUAUCGUUGUGAAUCGGAUUGUUUCAUGAACAGCUUGUUGAGGCCUUCGCCUCCUCCAGCUCCUCGGCUCCUCCAGCUCCUCCAGCUCCUCCAGCUCCUCUGAGCGACGCGGUACGUGAGUCACAUGGACAUCACAUGGACAUCACAUGGAGACGGUGAGCAACUGGUUCUGUCUCAGCACCAGUCGGCACAACUGGGACUAAUGGGGGGGGGGGGGGGCACCUGUUCUUUUCUGCUUUCCGUCAUGUGGAGACGAUGACGCUGCAGUUGGAAUUUUUAAAAGGAGAAAAGAAAAGAGUGAUUAUAAUAUCAGACUUUUCAAGCUACUUGGUUACUUGAGUGUAUCUUUUUAAUUAUUUCCUUUUAGUGUUUUUACUUGUAAAAUAUGUUACAGGAUGUAUUCAUAAAUGUUGCAUAAAUCUUACUUUUAUUUUGCUGCUUGGAAGCAGUUUACCAAAAGAAAGAAUGUUUGAAAAUAUUAAUAAUCUCAUGUUGUAUAUUUUCAUCACUGCUCUGAUUAAUACCUUCAGAAAUACAUUUUCUUUGGUUGUUGUUUUUUGUCGUAAUCAUGCAGUCAAAAACUAUUAUUUAUUGCCAUUUGUCCUUUUUAAGCUGCUUGUAAGUGAAUCCAGCAUCACGGCUCUUGUGCAUUUUAUUUUUUUUGUUCAACAACCUUUUUGUUUCUAUUUAUUGUUUUCUAAAGAAGAGAAAUAAGCUUUUCCACGUGCGUCACUCAGAGCUUCACAUCUGGCGCGUUAUCCUUUACGUGUUGAACA